AGUAGAACUAAUACGAUAACCAAAAAGAUCAUAAUUUAGAUCUCUCCUUUUAGGAUUUUGGCACUCCAGGAAAAUUUCCUCCUUCAAUUUAAAAUGGAUGCUUGUAGUACAGAAGAAAGGAAGAAUGAUUUUGAGAAAAUCUUUGCACACUACGAUGUUAGUAAAACAGGAGAACUGGAAGGUCCAGAAGUGGAUGGGUUUGUCAAAGAUAUGAUGGAGCUUGUCAAGGUGGCUUCAGGAUU